rnacentral:ribozyme from 1 species
AAGAGAAAGAACAAAACACAACCAGAACAGAUAGAAGAUUUAAUGUGGUUCCUUUCUUCACCUUCCACUUAAUUACAAUGUAAAGAGCGAAGAGAAUGAAAGCGUGAAUUAAGUGGAAGGAAGAAAGAAAGGAACCACAGAACACUUCCUUCUUUUCAUUCACUUUAUUUUAUUUGUGUUUAAAUUCAAUUAAAAUAAAAUGAAAUGAAACAGAACGGAAGUGAGAUGAAUGGAGCGU